rnacentral:tRNA from 1 species
GGGAAUGAUUGUGUGGCUGGUGCUCACCUCGGUCUUCAAAACCGUUGUCUCAUUUAAUAGAUGAGAGGUAAGUUCGAUUCUUACGCGUUCCC